AUUGAACGCUGGCGGCAUGCCUUACACAUGCAAGUCGAACGGUAACGCGGGGCAACCUGGCGACGAGUGGCGAACGGGUGAGUAAAGCAUCGGAACGUGCCCAGUGGUGGGGGAUAGCCCGGCGAAAGCCGGAUUAAUACCGCAUACGACCUAAGGGUGAAAGGGGGGGAUCGCAAGACCUCUCGCUAUUGGAGCGGCCGAUGUCAGAUUAGCUGGUUGGUGGAGUAAAAGCUCACCAAGGCGACGAUCUGUAGCUGGUCUGAGAGGACGACCAGCCACACUGGGACUGAGACACGGCCCAGACUCCUACGGGAGGCAGCAGUGGGGAAUUUUGGACAAUGGACGAAAGUCUGAUCCAGCCAUGCCGCGUGCGGGAAGAAGGCCUUCGGGUUGUAAACCGCUUUUGUCAGGGAAGAAAUCCUUUGAGCUAAUACCUCGGGGGGAUGACGGUACCUGAAGAAUAAGCACCGGCUAACUACGUGCCAGCCGCCGCAGUAA
rnacentral:rRNA from 1 species